UACGUAGGGUGCGAGCGUUGUCCGGAAUUAUUGGGCGUAAAGAGCUCGUAGGUGGCUUGUCACGUCGGGUGUGAAAGCUUGGGGCUUAACUCCAGGUCUGCAUUCGAUACGGGCUGGCUAGAGGUAGGUAGGGGAGAACGGAAUUCCUGGUGUAGCGGUGGAAUGCGCAGAUAUCAGGAGGAACACCGGUGGCGAAGGCGGGUCUCUGGGCAGUAACUGACGCUGAGGAGCGAAAGCGUGGGGAGCGAACAGG
rnacentral:rRNA from 1 species